GCCCCAGUAGUAUAAUCAAUUACUCUGGUCUUGUAAACCAAAAAUAAAGCCUUAAACGCUUUCUAGGGCA
rnacentral:tRNA from 1 species